rnacentral:rRNA from 1 species
UGUCAAAAAUCUACGCAGCACUGCAUACAGUAUACUCGGCGCAGCACGAAUACAUUAGCAUGGGAUAAUGGAAUAGGACCCUGUCCUCCUAUUUUCAGUUGGUUUUGGCAGCGCGAGGACUAGGGUAAUGAUUAAUAGGGAUAGUUGGGGGCAUUAAUAUUUAAUUGUCAGAGGUGAAAUUCUUGGAUUUAUGAAAGAUUAACUUCUGCGAAAGCAUCUGCCAAGGAUGUUUUCAUUAAUCAAGAACGAAAGUUAGGGGAUCGAAGACGAUCAGAUACCGUCGUAGUCUUAACCAUAAACGAUGCCGACCAGCGAUUAGGAGACGUUGAAUACAAAACACCACCAUCGGUGCGGUCGUCCUUGGCGUCGGUCUUUCGGGGCCGGCGCGGGGACGGCUUAGCCCGGUGGCACCGGUGAAUGACUCCCCUAGCAGCUUGUGAGAA